CUGGGGCCGCAGACCUGGUUAAAAAACAAGCCUGGAAAAGGAGAUUUUUUUUUUUUUUCUCAAAGAACCAAACAAAGGUGGCCAAGAAUCUAACUGUAGAGUAUUCAGAGCAGGUGCAGAGGCACACAGCAGCACGAGCGAUCCCUGCCCAGAGCAGGGCUCGGUUUGAGGCCCAGGAUGCACAGCGCGCUGUAAGGGUUUUCCGGAAAGUCAGCAGAAGGGACAUUCCAAGCCUGACUUAGUGCUCAGAAGAUUCUUAUCUGUCUCUGACUUGAGUGGCUUUCUCAGACCAAAGAAAGAACACCAGCAAUCUGAAACGAACUUAAUUGGCCUGGACAGUGCCAAUAGUAACAUGCGUUGCCAUGGUAGCUAAUGCGCACACUCCUCAAUCAAUAAUGCCGCCUUAUCUGCCUUCUAAAGAAAGGAUAAAUGGAAAAAGGAAGGAAGGAAAGCCACCGGUCCUGCAAAGAUUCCCAUAUCCUUGUGCUGUUACCUUUCUGGAUUCUGCCCGUUGCCUGAAAAGCUGACAGGAUCUGAAGGGGAUCAAACUCGGGUCCUCUGGCUUGCAAGGCAAACGUUGUAAGAGCCAAAAAGGUAUGUUUUAAGUUUUAAUUACUGUGCCUAAGAGAUCCAUGGAACAAAAAACUGUUGCUAACCUUUAAGUGUCUUGCCCAAGGACAGAUCUUUCCCCGAAAUGCUGGAAGCUAUUGCUUAUGGGAGAAAACAAGCCACAUGCUUCACUCCCUUAAACAAGUUUAUUUGGCCUAAUCGUACUGGAUGUAGGUGUGAGGUACGUAGGCAGGAAAUACGUCAGGAUGUAUGCUUGCCCCUGAUUGGAUGUAAGUGGGAGGUACACAGACAAGAAGUGCUUCAGGAUAUAUGCUUGCCGCUGAUUGGACCUGCUGAGAAAAAUGUAACCUUAUGGGUUUGCCUUUAUAAGCCUCUGCAAAAUAUAUGACUUGUAGACAUUUUCUGGGAACCCAGGAAUGGACCUGGCUAGAGUCCAUCAUCUGGGCCAGUAUUCAAUUAAUUGCUUCAAAUAUGGCUCAAGAUGGUGGUAGUGGUCUUAUUCUUGCCCAGUGGGAUUAGCAACGUCUAUUGAGUUAUCACUUUUUAUACUUGGUCCUGUGUCCUAGCGGGAACCAUCAAGUAAACAGCCAUCGGAUAACUGAGAUUAUCUUUAAGCCUAGUUAAGGGACACACCCUCAAAGGGAGUCUAUGGGUCGCUAAGACUGUUUGAAAUUUAGAGGGUUGUCCAUGUCAAAGCAGGGCCUGUUGUAGGUACACUGGUUGGCAGGGAGUCCUGAGGGUUCCCAAAUAAAGCAAAGAUGUGAAUAAAGAGAAGGCAUGAGUACCCCUGAGCUGGAGUUACAGAAUCCCCCCCCCCCCAAAAAAAAGAAAAAAAGAUAUGCAAGACAGACCAUUACACUGCUGAUGAGAGAUGCUGGGAGAAGAGGAAGGUGAGAAAAUUCAGUCAGUAACUUGAGAGAGACAUGGGGAAUAACAAAAUAAGCCAUGGAGAAGUUUUAAUUGGUCCCAGUUCCUAAUCCAUUCCUUCUUCUGCAAGGAUGCCAAAUGUUCUAUUCUGGGCCCUGGUGAGACGGUAUGUGUUCUUAUGUUGGCCAUCAAUACCUGAUGCAGCCUGGGAGAACCUACAACCUUGAUAUCACACACCCCAGCUUGGACCAAGUAGCAACACCUGUGAGGAGGAAAGGUCCAGAGGAAAAUCUCCUGGACAAGAUGUACAGUUUAAGACAUCAAAUUUCACAGAACACACUCACUUCUUCUUUGGUUAUCAGUCUUUAUCGGGGCAAUAAGCUGAUCUGCCUGGUGUUUCUAUGUGGCAAAACCACAAAGAGUCUAUUUCUUGCCCUGGAUACAUCCUGACCUUCACAGACCCACUCCUCUGCCAACGGCUGGCUGCGUGACUGACAAAAGGCAGGCAGGGUGCAUGAAGUGCAGGGAUCUAGUGACCCAGCCUCGUUGACUCCUGCUGACCUUCUGAUCCCUGGACAUAGCCUACGAAGGUACUCUAGGCUGCCUCAAUGCUGCAGAGUCCUGUCCAACUAGUUUGUUGCGAUGCUUAACGGGAAGACUGAACUCUUUUCUGGACAACAGGCAGACAGGUAUAUAUAUGCACACCAACCUCCUUUGUCCAGUUGAUCUGAAGAAGAGAUAUUUGAUGGCUCUGCUGGAGCCCUGAAUCUUCUCCAAGGCAGACACGCUAGAGGCAACCAGCAGUACUUCUAGACAGUGACAGAGGACCACCCCAAACACACUUCCAUGAGCCCCCCACCCUCCCACCCCCACCUACACAGGAGGUUGGGAGGGCUCUGGAAGACAGCUGGGAGAAAUGGACUUGAUUAACCACAACAACAACAAAAACCAUUAAUGCUUCCUAAAGCAACACUGCUUAAGAUGUCUACAGUCCCUUUGUGUUCCAUUGUGGUUUGGUGUGUGUGUGCGUGUUCGUGUGUGUGUGUGUGUGUGUGUGUGUGUGUGUGUGUGUGUGUGUUGGAAUGUGCUAUGGCGUAUGUGUAUGUGGUGGUCACAGGACAGCUUUCUGAUGCUGGUAUUCAUCUUCCACCUGGCUUUGAGCUGUGGUCUCUUCUGUUCUGCCACCACCCUGCACACUGCAGGUGAGCUGCACACUGCAGGUGAGCUGGCCUGGGAGCUGCAUACUGCAGGUGAGCUGCACACUGCAGACGAGCUGGCCUGGGAGCUGCAUACUGCAGGUGAGCUGCACACUGCAGACGAGCUGGCCUGGAGCUGCAUACUGCAGGUGAGCUGCACACUGCAGGUGAGCUGGCCUGGGAGCUGCAUACUGCAGGUGAGCUGCACACUGCAGGUGAGCUGGCCUGGGAGCUGCAUACUGCAGGUGAGCUGCACACUGCAGGUGAGCUGGCCUGGGAGCUGCAUACUGCAGGUGAGCUGCACACUGCAGACGAGCUGGCCUGGGAGCUGCAUACUGCAGGUGAGCUGCACACUGCAGACGAGCUGGCCUGGGAGCUGCAUACUGCAGGUGAGCUGCACACUGCAGGUGAGCUGGCCUGGGUGCUGCAUACUGCAGGUGAGCUGCACACUGCAGAUGAGCUGGCCUGGGAGCCAAGUGUCCUCUAAUUCACAUCCUCUUAUCCUCAGCAUAAUAAACGCUGGGAUUACAAGCUUACAGCACCACAUCCAUCUUGUGGUCUUCCAUUAUGUCUGUCCUAAGGGAGGUAUAGAGGUCUCCAGAGAGCUGGUUAUGAAUCUUUGGUUAACAUUGUGUGUGUGUGUGUGUGUUUGUGUGUGCAUGCGUGUGGGAGGGUGUCAGAGGACAAUGUGAGAAAGCUAGUUGUGUCCUUCCACCAUGUGGAUCAAAGCCAGGUUUCCAGACUUGGCGGCGAGCACCUUAACCCACUGAUCCAUCUUGUCAGCCCAUCGAUAACCUAUUAUACAUGCACCAAAGAAGCAAUUUUAUCUCUCUGUUGGGAAAAUUGGGACUAUAUUUUAUAUGGCAGUUUCAUUUCCAUGGUUAUAGCUUGUACUGUACAUAAUGGUCAAAAAUAGAUUGGAAAUAGUUGAAAAGCCAAAAUGAGUUUUUUUGUUUGUUUAUUUAUUUAUUUAUUUUUGAACCACAGAUCCUCAGAAAAACAGUGAACUAGAGACAGUGAAGGGGCAAAGUCGUGAGUGAGUCAGCUGUGUUUGUAAGGUUCUGAUUGGGAAGAAGGAAGAUGGAAGCAGAAAAGAAUGUGAGGAGAGAGGGCUGAAGAGAUGGCUCAGUGGUUAAGAGCACUGACUGUUCUGCCAGAGGUCCUGGGUUCCAUUCCCAGCACACACCUGGCAGUUCACAGCCAUCCGCAACUCCAUUGCCAAGGAAAUCCAACUCCCUCUUCUGGUCUCUAAGGGUACUGCAUGCAUGUGGUGCAUAAAAAUACCAUGCAGGUAAACACUCACACACAUAGAAUAAACUAAAUAAAAUCUCUAUUUAAAAACAAGGGGUAGGAGAGUUGUCUCCUUGGUUAAGAGCACUUCUUGCUCUUGCAAGGAGGCCCCAGGUUUACUUCUCAGCACCCACACGCAGGCUCAUCACCUCCUUGGACACCAAGCAUACAUGCAAGCAAAACAGUCAUACACAUUAGCAACCUCCAUCACCGCUGUCGUCUAAAACAAAAACAACAACAAAAUGUUUGUCACAGAACAGAGGGCUUUGGUCUUCCUCCAGGCACCUACAGCUGUGUGGUUUCAGGUAAACGUUGUACCCUGUUUAUCUGCUUCCUCUCUGUGAAGAGUACGGACCGGGAGAGCGGGUGAGCAUUAAAUGAGAUGGCACCCGUGAAUUCCUCGGGACGGUGCCCGGCACAGAGAGUGCUGCACCAAUCUUUGCUCUUCUCACUGUUUUGUUGACAGGAUCCCGGACCAAAAGCUAUCACAGCUCUGAAUCAGCUUUGGACGAUCACUGGCCUUGUGGUUUGUAGACUUCACCUGCUCACCAGCCCCACUUCUCCUUUGAGUUCGAUUGCUUUACCACACUCUUACCCUCUGCUUCCGUCUUCUAGUCACAUUCUCCCAAAAGGGCUCUGAUUGGCUCAGCUAGCUUCCAUUCUUACCCUUCAUCUGAUCAACUGUCCGGCCUAUGAGGCAGCCGCUCCCUGUCCCAUCAACUCACAUAUGUACCAGAACACACAAAGUGAGAGGCACCAACCUCAGGCCUCACCUAGCUGGAUGGGACAGCGACUUCUGAAGAGAGAGCAGGUCCGCAGUCCUCACUGCAGCAACAUCAGCCCCCACGAAGCCCACCCAUUUUCUUCAGGCUCCUCGGCUACAAUCCAGAAUCAUUGAGAUAGCAGACCCAUAUCUGGGAGCCUGACUCUGCUGUUUCUCCCCCACAAACCCUUCUAGAAAGCUCUAAGGACAGGCUGCUUCUCCACUUGGCUUCCUGGUAUAGCCUUGGUCAUACUAUGUCCUGGGGGAGCUUUCCCAAACAUUCGAGUGGAGAGUGAGCUUUCAUGUGGAAAGUAGUGCACUCAACGGAAGUUUUGUUUUUUUUCUCCAUUUGCUUAAUUUGGCUGGCUUUCGUGUGUGCUGAAUGAAGGUUGGGCAGUCGUAUAAGAAUGCAGAGAAGAUGAGUUCAGAAAUCUGAGUGAUUACAUCCGGACUUCAUGCUUACGGUUGCAAAUGCAGAGACAUCUGUCAUUUGUCAGGCCCUCAGUGAAGCAGGCACGCAGCAGCACCUGCCUGGUCAAAUUCUUUCAGCUUUGGGCCAUCUGAGUGUGGGUUUUGCUGACACCACAUAAAUUUCAUCUCUCUUUAAAGGGAUCCGCCUGUGAGGAACAAACACAGGAAUAAAGACCAGGAAGCCACAUAAAAUGUGGGUUUCAGCUUCUGUUAGCUAGCGUGAGGUGAGGGGCAAGUAGAAACAAGAGUUCAGGACAGAAAUGACCCAUCCUAACAGGCUUCCCAGGAAACAAGGCUGCAGCCUGGAUAAUGACUGAGGGGUUGGUCCACACAGCUGUGGAGGACGUCAUCCUUCAGUAGCAACCCCCGUGUGACAGCCUGCAAUAAGAUGGCUCUGCUGUUUGAGAGCUAGGUUGUUGAAAUGGCAAGCCCCCUUUCUUGGUUCAGGGAUACUCCUAGGGUUGCAGUUAGUUUCCGAAUGGAGACAAGAAGCUGGAGAGCUGGGAAGAGAAGUAGGUGCGUACACAUCGCUGGGAGAAAGAGAGAUGGUGUCAUGGUUUGAAUAUGCUUGGCCCAUGGAGUGGCACUAUUAGGAGGUGUUG